AGAGUUUGAUCCUGGCUCAGGAUGAACGCUGGCGGCGUGCCUAAUACAUGCAAGUCGAGCGAACAGAUAAGGAGCUUGCUCCUUUGACGUUAGCGGCGGACGGGUGAGUAACACGUGGAUAACCUACCUAUAAGACUGGGAUAACUUCGGGAAACCGGAGCUAAUACCGGAUAACAUAUUGAACCGCAUGGUUCAAUAGUGAAAGGCGGCUUUGCUGUCACUUAUAGAUGGAUCCGCGCCGUAUUAGCUAGUUGGUAAGGUAACGGCUUACCAAGGCAACGAUACGUAGCCGACCUGAGAGGGUGAUCGGCCACACUGGAACUGAGACACGGUCCAGACUCCUACGGGAGGCAGCAGUAGGGAAUCUUCCGCAAUGGGCGAAAGCCUGACGGAGCAACGCCGCGUGAGUGAUGAAGGUCUUCGGAUCGUAAAACUCUGUUAUCAGGGAAGAACAAAUGUGUAAGUAACUGUGCACAUCUUGACGGUACCUGAUCAGAAAGCCACGGCUAACUACGUGCCAGCAGCCGCGGUAAUACGUAGGUGGCAAGCGUUAUCCGGAAUUAUUGGGCGUAAAGCGCGCGUAGGCGGUUUUUUAAGUCUGAUGUGAAAGCCCACGGCUCAACCGUGGAGGGUCAUUGGAAACUGGAAAACUUGAGUGCAGAAGAGGAAAGUGGAAUUCCAUGUGUAGCGGUGAAAUGCGCAGAGAUAUGGAGGAACACCAGUGGCGAAGGCGACUUUCUGGUCUGUAACUGACGCUGAUGUGCGAAAGCGUGGGGAUCAAACAGGAUUAGAUACCCUGGUAGUCCACGCCGUAAACGAUGAGUGCUAAGUGUUAGGGGGUUUCCGCCCCUUAGUGCUGCAGCUAACGCAUUAAGCACUCCGCCUGGGGAGUACGACCGCAAGGUUGAAACUCAAAGGAAUUGACGGGGACCCGCACAAGCGGUGGAGCAUGUGGUUUAAUUCGAAGCAACGCGAAGAACCUUACCAAAUCUUGACAUCCUUUGACCGCUCUAGAGAUAGAGUCUUCCCCUUCGGGGGACAAAGUGACAGGUGGUGCAUGGUUGUCGUCAGCUCGUGUCGUGAGAUGUUGGGUUAAGUCCCGCAACGAGCGCAACCC
rnacentral:rRNA from 1 species